CCCCUAGUAACGGCGAGUGAAGCGGGAAAAGCUCAAAUUUGAAAUCUGGCAGCCUCAGGUUGUCCGAGUUGUAAUCUAUAGAAACGUUUUCCGCGCUGGCCCAUGUACAAGUCCCUUGGAAUAGGGCGUCAUAGAGGGUGAGAAUCCCGUCCUUGACACGGACCACCAGUGCUUUGUGAUACGUUUUCAACGAGUCGAGUUGUUUGGGAAUGCAGCUCAAAAUGGGUGGUAAAUUCCAUCUAAAGCUAAAUAUUGGCGAGAGACCGAUAGCGAACAAGUACCGUGAGGGAAAGAUGAAAAGCACUUUGGAAAGAGAGUUAAACAGUAUGUGAAAUUGUUGAAAGGGAAACGAUUGAAGUCAGUCGUGUCUAUUGGACUCAGCCGGUUCUGCCGGUGUACUUCCUUUAGAUGGGGUCAACAUCAGUUUUGAUCGCUGGAAAAGGGCGGGAGGAAUGUAGCACUCUCGGGUGAACUUAUAGCCUUCCGUCGUAUACAGUGGUUGGGACUGAGGAACGCAGCAUGCCUUUAUGGCCGGGGUUCGCCCACGUACAUGCU
rnacentral:rRNA from 1 species